rnacentral:rRNA from 1 species
CAGUCGCCACGGUAAUACGUAGGUGGCAAGCGUUGUCCGGAAUUAUUGGGCGUAAAGGGCUCGCAGGCGGUGACUUAAGUGAGGUGUGGAAGCCCCGGGCUUAACCUGGGAAUUGCAUUUCAUACUGGGUCGCUAGAGUACUUUAGGGAGGGGUAGAAUUCCACGUGUAGCGGUGAAUGCGUAGAGAUGUGGAGGAAUACCGAAGGCGAAGGCAGCCCCUUGGGAAUGUACUGACGCUCAUGUGCGAAAGCGUGGGGAGCAAACAGGAUUAGAUACCCCUGUAGUCCUUGUCUCUUAUACA